UUUCCGUAGGUGAACCUGCGGAAGGAUCAUUGAUGAUGUUUGAUUCAAUACCCUGAUUCAGAACCGGAGCACCGUCUGGCGGCGGUGGUGGAGGUUGUGGUGUUCGUGCGGGUGCCUGUGCGCGGGGAGACCCGGGCGCAGCCCUGCACGACGCCGCCCCCCACCCCCCCCCCCCUCACCCACUCCCCACACCCCAACCCCUCAUGCCUGCCGCACCCGGUGCGCCGGUGGGAGCAGCCGCUUCCACCGACACACCCCAACCAGAGACAACUCUCAACAACGGAUAUCUUGGCUCCC
rnacentral:misc_RNA from 1 species